rnacentral:rRNA from 1 species
GGCUUAACACAUGCAAGUCGAACGCCCCGCAAGGGGAGUGGCAGACGGGUGAGUAACGCGUGGGAAUCUACCCAUCUCUACGGAAUAACUCAGGGAAACUUGUGCUAAUACCGUAUACGCCCUUCGGGGGAAAGAUUUAUCGGAGAUGGAUGAGCCCGCGUUGGAUUAGCUAGUUGGUGGGGUAAAGGCCUACCAAGGCGACGAUCCAUAGCUGGUCUGAGAGGAUGAUCAGCCACAUUGGGACUGAGACACGGCCCAAACUCCUACGGGAGGCAGCAGUGGGGAAUAUUGGACAAUGGGCGCAAGCCUGAUCCAGCCAUGCCGCGUGAGUGAUGAAGGCCCUAGGGUUGUAAAGCUCUUUCACCAAUGAAAAUAACGACUG